rnacentral:lncRNA from 1 species
CACAGUUUUGGAACUAUCAGUCCACGGUCAACUGGCUCCAUUGCCUUCAGAACCUCGUUGAGGCAGAAACGUCAUAGGGAAGAGGGUGGCAGAAAAGAACUCACCUCAUGGCAGAGGGAGACACGGAGGCAGAGACAAAGACAGACGACAGACAGAGAGGAAGUGGCCCAGGACAGGAUGCUGCCUUCCAGGCCAGGCUCCGUUAUCCCAUCAGUGGCCUUCACGAUCCAGUCCCUUCCUCCAAAGCGACACCUUAGGACACAGCUUUACCGCGAACCCAAUCUUCAACAGACUGCCCCUUUCCGUCGUCUGUCCGGUCUUUCUUUGCUUUUUCAAAUCCUCAUCAUGGGCCGCAUGUUUGAGGACAGCGACGCCUCCCUGCAUCCGUGGGAAAAUUACUUUGGACAGUUGCUAUAGAGAAGGAAGAGUUUUAGGAGGACACCACUAGCAUGAAGUCCAGUGAGCAGGAAGGUCAGGGCCCAGCUGAAAUCGCCGCCUUGUUGCAAGUUCUUCAUGAGCCACAGAAAGAAAGGCGAGGGUGCUGGCCAGAUGUUCGCCUCCCACAGGUCCUAUGCGAGGCACCUUCCCGCCCUCCAUGGUGUCAAGGACAUUUUAGAGAUCAG